rnacentral:rRNA from 1 species
GUUUGAUCCUGGCUCAGAACGAACGCUGGCGGCAGGCCUAACACAUGCAAGUCGAACGAACUCUUCGGAGUGAGUGGCGCACGGGUGCGUAACACGUGGGAAUAUACCCUUCAGUGCGGAAUAACGUAGAGAAAUUUACGCUAAUACCGCAUAAUGACUCCGGUCCAAAGAUUUAUCGCUGAAGGAUUAGCCCGCGCCUGAUUAGGUAGUUGGUGAGGUAAGAGCUCACCAAGCCGACGAUCAGUAGCUGGUUUGAGAGGAUGACCAGCCACACUGGAACUGAGACACGGUCCAGACUCCUACGGGAGGCAGCAGUGAGGAAUAUUGCGCAAUGGGGGAAACCCUGACGCAGCCAUGCCGCGUGAGUGACGAAGGCCUUAGGGUUGUAAAGCUCUUUCAGAUGCGAAGAUAAUGACGGUAACAUCAGAAGAAGCUCCGGCUAAAUUCGUGCCAGCAGCCGCGGUAAUACGAAUGGAGCAAGCGUUGUUCGGAAUCACUGGGCGUAAAGCGUACGUAGGCGGACUUUUAAGUCAGAUGUGAAAGCCCAGGGCUCAACCCUGGAACUGCAUUUGAAACUGGAAGUCUAGAGUCCCGGAGAGGUUAGGGGAAUUCCGAGUGUAGCAGUGAAAUGCGCAGAUAUUCGGAGGAACACCAGUGGCGUAGGCGCCUAACUGGACGGGAACUGACGCUGAGGUACGAAAGCGUGGGGAGCAAACAGGAUUAGAUACCCUGGUAGUCCACGCCGUAAACGAUGUAUGCUAGUUGUUGGAAUCCAUAGGGUUUCAGUGACGCAGCUAACGCGAUAAGCAUACCGCCUGGGGAGUACGAUCGCAAGAUUAAAACUCAAAGGAAUUGACGGGGACCCGCACAAGCGGUGGAGCAUGUUGUUUAAUUCGAAGCAACGCGAAGAACCUUACCUACACUUGACAUACUCGUCGGGAUUUCCAGAGAUGGAUUUCUUCGGUUCGGCCGGACGAGAUACAGGUGCUGCAUGGCUGUCGUCAGCUCGUGUCGUGAGAUGUUAGGUUAAGUCCUGCAACGAGCGCAACCCCUGUCCUUAGUUGCCAGCGCGUAAUGGCGGGAACUCUAAGGAGACUGCCGGUGACAAACCGGAGGAAGGCGGGGAUGACGUCAAGUCAUCAUGGCCCUUACGGGUAGGGCUUCAAACGUGCUACAAUGGCUACUACAGUGGGCAGCUAGGUCGCGAGACCAUGCGAAUCUCUAAAAAUAGUCUCAGUUCGGAUUGUUCUCUGCAACUCGAGAGCAUGAAGUUGGAAUCGCUAGUAAUCGUGGAUCAGCAUGCCACGGUGAAUACGUUCCCGGGUCUUGUACACACCGCCCGUCACGUCAUGGGAGUUGGUUCUACCCGAAGGCCGUGCGCUAACCAGUUUACUGGAAGCAGCGGACCACGGUAGGGUUAGCGACUGGGAUGAAGUCGUAACAAGGUAGCC